AGAAAUAAGCUCAUCAACUGCGUCUGCAGCAGACGUGAGACCCUUGGUCAUGGCAUUGAAACGCCUGCUCAACAAAACUGCAGACAGACCGUAGGGUUAAAACUUGCAAAAGUAGUCUACUAGAGGCUGUGAACAAGCGAUUUGGUGGCAUUCUUUCUGAGCCUCUUUACUGUGUCGCCACCAUGCUCGAUGCUAGGUACAAGGACCGCUACAUCGAUGCAGACAAGAAACAGGGUUUACGUGAAAUGUUACAGACACAGCUGGACAAGAUGGAAACGGACACAGUGACAGUGCGCACCGAGGAAGAGGAACCACGACAGAAGAGGCUACGGACAGACAGAGCUGAAACUUCACUGCUUGACAUGUAUGAUGACAUCCUGGUUGAGAAUGGAACGACUGAAGAAAUAAACAACCAAACAGCACAGCAAAUACUAGUAUACCUGACAGAACCUACUAUUCCCAGGAAUGAAGAUGCACUUGGAUACUGGAGAAGUAACAAGCACCGUUUCCCAUCCUAGCUAAAGCUGCGUGCAAGUAUCUUGGUGCUCCCUGUACUAGUGUGGACAGUGAGCACCUUUUCAGUGCAGCUUCACACAUUGUAGACGAAAAAAUAAACAGACUCUCUUGUGACAAAGCUGAGCAGGUUCUCUUUGUGAAGAAAAACCUCCCCCAAAUGUUACAUUUGUAAAUGGGCAGUCAUAUUCUAACUCGGCCAUCUAGAGACACUGGAUUUUUUUUUCUCACUAAGCCCAAUGGCUUUUCUGUUGUUUAUUCAUGGCUGGUAUAGGUCAAUAUUUUCAUUUAAUUUAAAACAAAGCAGUUUUGUUAUUUUGUUAAUUUUUUUAAUUUCCUAAAUGAAAGAUGAGAUGUGUUGUAAGUUUGCUCGCAUUUUACUAGUCAAGUCAGUUGAGCACAUUUUAAAAGUUUAAGUUUAUGACAUAGCCUAGAGACAGUCGUUUUUUCAAACAUUUAAAGCUAAAAUGAUUAACUGCAUUUUUGUUUAAAACAAUAUUUUUUUUCAAAGCAUUUUUAAGUUUCUCCAUACAGUCAAGAUUGGAUAGUAAGAAGAGCCACCAACAACUUAACCAUCUUUGUAAUGUGGGGCAGCUAAAAUAUUUGUGCCAUGAAUAUCUGUUGUGCAAUAAAAUACAUUCAUGGAUUUGUCA